GGAAUGGGUGGACGGGACUCGACUCAACCCCAGUUUCUAGGAGCCAAACAACCAUGAAGACACAGAUGAAGACUGUGGUGAAAUCCGACAUUUUGACAUGGAAAACAACUGGAAUGACGUUCCCUGUGGAAUCCAGAACUCCUGGGUCUGUGAAGUAAAGCUGCAGGGAUGAAGAUGGAAAGCAGCAGGAGGCUGACCUCUGACCUCAGCUGGUAACGGUCCACCAGGGGGCGCCAGUCGGAGCAGGAUGGAUGGUUCAUUCUUCGGGUCGGACCCAAACCGGGUCCAGGUCUGCAGCUCCUUGAUGUUCUUCACAUCUGAAACGGUUGAAGCUUCAAUCUGACUUCAGCUUUGCUGUGAUUUGAACUUUAUUAUUGUUAAUC